AUGUGGUUUAAUUCGAAGCAACGCGAAGAACCUUACCAGGUCUUGACAUCCGAUGCAUAGCUUAGAGAUAAGUGAAGUCCUUCGGGACAUCGAGACAGGUGGUGCAUGGUUGUCGUCAGCUCGUGUCGUGAGAUGUUGGGUUAAGUCCCGCAACGAGCGCAACCCUUAUUGCCAGUUACUACGCAAGAGGACUCUGGCGAGACUGCCG
rnacentral:rRNA from 1 species